rnacentral:rRNA from 1 species
AGUGAACGCUGGCGGUAGGCCUAACUCUUGCAAUUCGAACGGCAGCACAGUAAGAGCUUGCUCUUACGGGUGGCGAGUGGCGGACGGGUGAGGAAUACAUCGGAAUCUACUUUUUCGUGGGGGAUAACGUAGGGAAACUUACGCUAAUACCUCAUACGACCUACGGGUGAAAGCAGGGGAUCUUCGGACUUUGCUCGAUUGAAUGAGCCGAUGUCGGAUUAGCUAGUUGGCGUGGUAAAGGCCCACCAAGGCGACGAUCCGUAGCUGGUCUGAGAGGAUGAUCAGCCACACUGGAACUGAGACACGGUCCAGACUCCUACGGGAGGCAGCAGUGGGGAAUAUUGGACAAUGGGGGCAAGCCUGAUCCAGACAUACCGCGAGGGUGAAGAAGGCCUUCGGGUUGUAAAGCCCUUUUGUUGGGAAAGAAAAGCAGCAGGUUAAUACCCCGCUGUUCUGACGGUACCAAAAGAAUAAGCACCGGCUAACUUCGUG